UCGGUCGUCUCCUGGCAGCGCGCGACGGCGACAUCGGCCGGAAUUGAACGGGACGGCGGCGAGCAGUCCUGGAACGGGGCUGUGGCGCCUCGUCUCUUUUCUCCCUCGAGAUCGUGCACGGGAUUGGCCCAAUCCCCACCUCCCACGCCCUCUGCUGCCUCCCCGGCUCGUCUCCUUCCAUCCUCGUUCUUCGGUUUUAGCCAUGGAGGACGCGGAUCAAGUGGCAGCGCAGCACGGGGCUUAGAUUUGUUCAGGGAACGGAGUAGGAGGGCUGGGCCACCAUACGUGCUUCCACGACUGCCUACACCACUUCUCGUCUUCCUCCUGGCCAAAAUCAUGCCUAAAGUGAUGGACUGCUCCUGGAAGAAAGAAGCAUCAGCGGGCAGCGCGUAGAAGAGGAAGCGGGUCGGCGGCGUGGAGGUUGCAGGCUGGCGCGGAGAAGAGGCAGCGGCGGGCG